GCUCGAUUAGCUCAGUUGGUUAGAGCGUCGUACUAAUACUUCUCUUGGGAAGCAUAUAGUGAUGCGAAGGUCAUCAGUUCAAUCCUGAUAUUGAGCA